rnacentral:tRNA from 1 species
UUCCUCAUAGCUCAGUUGGUAAAGAAUCUGCCUGCAAUGCAGAAGACCCCAGUUCAAUUCCUGGGUCAGGAA